UCACCGAGACUCAACAGCUUUUUGGUUUGUUCAGAUCGACUUGUCACCAUGGCGCGCACUGCCAGUAAGCGGAUUCUGCCACGGAUUAAUGUCGAUCACUCCGGCAAUCUUGUAAGCCGCCCGCUUUCGGAGGCAAGCAACAAGCAACUGGACAACAUCACCACCCAGAAAUAGUGUUUUUUAAGUGCGAUCCACUCAAAAAAAAAUGAGAAUAGUAUUAUAGUAUUAUAUUUGAAUACUCUU
rnacentral:lncRNA from 1 species